UAAAAACCCCGACUUCGGAAGGGGUGUAUUUAUUAGAUACAAAACCAAUGCCCUUCGGGGCUCUUUGGUGAUUCAUGAUAACUAUACGAAUCGCACGGCCUUGCGCCGGCGAUGGUUCAUUCAAAUUUCUUCCCUAUCAACUUUCGAUGUUUGGGUAUUGGCCAAACAUGGUUGCAACGGGUAACGGAGGGUUAGGGCUCGACCCCGGAGAAGGAGCCUGAGAAACGGCUACUACAUCCAAGGAAGGCAGCAGGCGCGCAAAUUACCCAAUCCCGACUCGGGGAGGUAGUGACAAUAAAUACUGAUACAGGGCCCUUUCGGGCCUUGUAAUUGGAAUGAGUACAAUUUAAAUCCCUUAACGAGGAACAAUUGGAGGGCAAGUCUGGUGCCAGCAGCCGCGGUAAUUCCAGCUCCAAUAGCGUAUACUAAAGUUGUUGUGGUUAAAAAGCUCGUAGUUGAACCUUGGGCCUGGCUGGCCGGUCCGCCUCACCGCGUGCACUGGUCCGGCCGGGCCUUUCCCUCUGUGGAACCCCAUACCCUUCACUGGGCGUGGCGGGGAAACAGGACAUUUACUUU
rnacentral:rRNA from 1 species